rnacentral:rRNA from 1 species
UUUCGGUCUGGAAUAACGUGAGGAAACUUACGCUAAUACCGGAUAAGCCUUUACGGGGAAAGCUUUAUGCUCCGAUUGAUGAGCCCACACUUGAUUAGUUAGUUGGUGAGGUAAAAGCUCCACCAAGACGAUGAUCAAUAGCUGAUUUGAGAGGAUGAUCAGCCACAUUGGGACUGAGACACGGCCCAAACUCCUACGGGAGGCAGCAGUGGGGAAUCUUGCACAAUGGGGGAAACCCUGAUGCAGCGAUGCCGCGUGAGUGAAGAAGGCCCUUGGGUUGUAAAGCUCUUUCGUCGGGGAAGAAAAUGACUGUACCCGAAUAAGAAGGUCCGGCUAACUUCGUGCCAGCAGCCGCGGUAAUACGAAGGGACCUAGCGUAGUUCGGAAUUACUGGGCUUAAAGAGCACGUAGGUGGUUAAAAAAGUUGAUGGUGAAAUCCCAGAGCUUAACUCUGGAACUGCCAUCAAAACUUUUUAGCUAGAGUAUGAUAGAGGAAAGUAGAAUUUCUAGUGUAGAGGUGAAAUUCGUAGAUAUUAGAAAGAAUACCGAUUGCGAAGGCAGCUUUCUGGAUCAUUACUGACACUGAGGUGCGAAAGCAUGGGUAGC